AUCGAGACAAAGCAAAAUAUAUUGUGGCAAAUUCUGCAGUUCAGAGUCGUGACAGAGUCAGAGCCUCCUAUUGCAGUGCGGGAGCCUUCUGCUUGUCUCCCCGCUGCCUAGGAUGCAGGGGCUUCCGAGCGGGGUUAAAUAGAAAUAAUACAGUAAAUAUACAGUUUCAAAAGUCCUUCAGGACAUGCAGCAAACGCCGGUGAUUCGGACUGGGUGAAGUUGUCAAAGGUUGCUUUGCUCUCCAGAGCCUGGCAGUAGCUCCACUGAAAUGUGAUGCCAUUGGUUUUCAGCAAAGGUUUCUUUCUGCAGGGCUGCAAACAGAGAUCAGCUGCUACUGUGUAUACACAACUAGGGAGCAAAUCAAGCAGCACAUUUAAGCAGCCUUUUUAACCCUGAGACUUUCCAAGAUUUCUUCUUCUUCACGCAGGAAGUUUCCUUUAUAUUGUCAGCUCUAGCACUUUGCUCAUGUAAUGAGAUCAGAGCUAGGAUCACUGCUGCACAGUAGAAAGACUUCCUUAAGACAUUUGUCCUUGAAACUGCACCAAACUCUUGGAAGAACCCAGAACCUCUGAGCAGUCUCUGUCAAGCACAGGUCGCAGCUAAAAUGCAUAGGUAGAUGCAGGACAAAUCCAGCUUUCCCUGUUCUUCUGAGCUGCCUUGCCAGACGGAGGGGGCGAUUGCUUGUGCCAGUCAGAAAGAGUUCUGUUUGGGAAGCAAAGAAAGGGAUAGGAGGUAUCAGCUACUGAAGCCCAGACAGCCCGGCAGAGAGUCUAAAAAGCCAUCUAAUAGUCGUCUUUCUGAAAACACAUCCAUUAGUAUGCAGUGUUUUCACUGCUGUAAUAAUAAGAGCAAUCAUGAUACGAACAAGCCCGUCUCUUCACAGCCUUCCCAUGCGGGAUGGAGAAUGACAGCUCCUAAAGCAUUUGGAUAUUUGCC
rnacentral:lncRNA from 1 species